AUAAGAAUCAGCUGGAGGGGCCCGAUAAUAAGAAUCAGCUGGAGGUGCCCGAUAAUACAGUUCAGCUGGAGGGGCCCGAUAAUAAGAAUCAGCUGGAGGUGCCUGAUAAGCCGCAUCAGCUGGAGGGGCCCGAUUAUAAGAAUCAGCUGGAGGUGCCCGAUAAGACGGAUCAGCUGGAGGUGCCUGAUAAGAUGGAUCAGCUAGAGGUGCCUGAUAAGAAGGAUCAGCUGGAGGUGCGGCUGGGGGUGCUCGAUAUGAUGGAUUGGCUGGUGGUUUCCGAUAAGAUGGAUCGGGUGGAGGUGCCCGAUAAGAUGGUUCGGCUGGAGGUGCCCGAGAAUAUGGAUCAGCUGGAGGUGCCUGGUGAUAUGAAUCAGCUGGUGGUGCCAGAUAAUACGACUUGGCUGGAG
rnacentral:lncRNA from 1 species